rnacentral:rRNA from 1 species
AUUGAACGCUGGCGGCAUGCCUUACACAUGCAAGUCGAACGGUAACAGGUCUUCGGAUGCUGACGAGUGGCGAACGGGUGAGUAAUACAUCGGAACGUGCCUAGUAGUGGGUGAUAAUUACUCGAAAGAGUGGCUAAUACCGCAUGAGAUCUACGGAUGAAAGCAGGGGAUCGCAAGACCUUGUGCUACUAGAGCGGCCGAUGGCAGAUUAGGUAGUUGGUGGGAUAAAAGCUUACCAAGCCGACGAUCUGUAGCUGGUCUGAGAGGACGAUCAGCCACACUGGGACUGAGAAACGGCCCAGACUCCUACGGGAGGCAGCAGUGGGGAAUUUUGGACAAUGGGCGCGAGCCUGAUCCAGCAAUGCCGCGUGCAGGAUGAAGGCCUUCGGGUUGUAAACUGCUUUUGUACGGAACGAAAAGCCCCGGGUUAAUACCCUGGGGUCAUGACGGUACCGUAAGAAUAAGCACCGGCUAACUACGUGCCAGCCGCCGCGGUAA